ensembl:lncRNA
GAGGUUAUCUCUGGAGAAGAAGUUCAGUGCAUUCCAAUUUUUUCAGCACAAGCUUGCUGGCCUCCAGACACUUUGCUGCCUGCGGCAAAGGGCAACAUAAUGUCCUCUGCCAGCCAGCUGAACUGGCAGCUGGAUUGUCCUUUUGAUGCUGACAGUGAGACAGCAUGCUGCUGAAGUAGGCAGGGCAGAGUGGUGUCCUUCAGACAACUGGCACUGUAGCUCCUCCACCCUUGUUCCCAGGGGAGAUUGUCUCACUUUGCCUAAUAGCAGGGCCAGUUCUGCAGCACCCUAAGCAGGAUGCUUUCCCCACUCCACCAGACUGCUUCCUCCGCCUUUGCUCUGUUGGAAGGAACUAUCCCUUCCCUCUGUAGUUCUCUCUCCCUCUUUCCACAUCCCCAGCUUGCUCUCUGGACUCCCGCUUAAUAUAGCCUGUGCCGAAUCCUCGCCCCUCUAUUCUGCCUCUAUCUAUAGCUCCUCCUUGGUCUUCUCUUAUUCCUAUUUUAAGCCUGAGCCGCUGAUGUGACAGGCAGAAGCUUGUGUUUACUUCCCUUCAGUUCCCAGGGAUGUGCACAGGCCCUCUCCCAGCCUCUUCCAGAUUUUCCCCUCUUCUCCUUUUCCGCCACAACAACUGCAGUAAGAGGAGUCUGGCUAUAGGGAUGUCCGGCGAGAUUGGAGAAGACACUAUGGUGAAGAAGGCUGCUUCCUCCGAGAGGGAACUGAUGGAACUAAGCGAAAAUGAUGUAGCAGAAAUCAACCUGCACGCUGUGGAAUCCAUCAGCGACUUGCACUACGGAUCCAGCAGACACGAAGGGAGCAGCCAGACUCAGCACAACAGCCCGUGGACACCGCAUAGCCUGGCCUCCUCCAAGCACUUCACUUUCCCAAAUGAAGAGGACUCGUCCUUUGUACCCAUCCAGAAUUUCCACAUGAUGCCCACUUUCACCUGUUGUCCUUGCUUUGGCCCAACCUGUUGCCCCACUGGCUUCUUUGCCCUCCUCGGAGUGCUGGUUGUGGCCAGUCUAGGCCUGGCCACCCUGGCGGUCUAUCUGAGUGGUAGGUCUGAGGACAGGUUGGCGGCUGACGGGUGGACCCUAAGAAGGAAGUCAUGGUGGGACCAUACCAUCCCUCCCUGUGGGCAAGCGGAGGGAGGAGAACAGCUGGAGGAGCCCGAGGUGUUGCGAGCCCAGCCUGAAGACUGUGUGUCUAACGUAAAGCCUGUAAAUAUGGCUAACAUAGGCAACCAUCCAAAAGCUGGUUAUCUGAAUUGGAUUUUUAGCAAUACUAAUGCUUUGUAGUAACUUAAUUCAUUACUUUUGAGGGAUUAAAUGUGAGUUACUAUUUGUUGUUACUUUGUUUUUUAACUACUAUACUAAUAACAUGUUAAUAAUGAUCAUGGUUAUGAUUAAUUUUAUUAUUCCCUGCUGCCAGCUUAGCAGCAAAGAAAUGAUUUUUUGUUUUGUUUUUACUUUUCCAAGCUCUGGAUUUCUAUGGGGACCUUUUGGUGAUAAGAAGCCAAGGUGCCAUAGCACCCCACAGCGAUGCUUCUGGGUAAUGCAAGAGAAAGUGCUGGAGACCAAGAGCAUUUCUCAGUUCAGCUGCAACAGACAGCCAGCAUUAGCAUUCUUCAAAGAAAGCAGCAACUUUUAAAAGUGACUUCCACCAGACUCCCUCUCACUGAACACCUUGCCCUUUGACAUCCUCAGGGCUUCUGUCCACCCAGUCAGCUUUGGCCUAGUCUACUCAGUUCCCCCUCCACAUCUGAAACCAUCCUAUUCCCUCUAUUUCAGAGACACAGGAUCUGCAGUCUCAGAGAAAAGCUAUUUAAUAUGUCAGAAAUUAUACUUCAGCUGAUAGUUUGUGAAGUGAUGCAUAAAUCUAUAAAGGCCAGAGACCUGUUCCUGAGGAUUCCCAUCCCAGAGUCAAACUGAAAGCACAUACGGAAUGGCAGCAGUGUCAGGGAUUUCCAUCCUAUGGCCUCUUUUAACCAUGAAUGGAGGAAGGAAUGAGGAAGGGACCUACUUUUACUGUCUGUCAACUAGCGGGCAGGGCACUGAAGUUAUAUUCUAUUCCAGUUCUCAUAGUAACAGCUUAAUGAAUGCCGUAUGUGAAAUAAAUUAAGUGCUUUGUAUAUUUAGUGGAUUAUG